UACGUAGGGUGCAAGCGUUAAUCGGAAUUACUGGGCGUAAAGCAUGCGCAGGCGGCUUUGCAAGACAGAUGUGAAAUCCCCGGGCUUAACCUGGGAACUGCAUUUGUGACUGCAUGGCUGGAGUGCGGCAGAGGGGGAUGGAAUUCCGCGUGUAGCAGUGAAAUGCGUAGAUAUCUGGAGGAACACCGGUGGCGAAGGCGGCAUCCUGGACCGGCAUUGACGCUGAGGCGCGAAAGCCAGGGGAGCAAACGGG
rnacentral:rRNA from 1 species